rnacentral:tRNA from 1 species
UUCCCUUUAGCUUAAUGGUAGAGCAUGAUACUUCUAAUAUUUGGGUCAAAGUUCGAGUCUUUGAAGGGAAU